rnacentral:rRNA from 1 species
GCGAACGCUGGCGGCAGGCCUAAUACAUGCAAGUCGAGCGGUCCCCUCGGGGGCAGCGGCGGACGGGUGAGUAACGCGUGGGAACGUGCCCUUUGGUACGGAACAACUGAGGGAAACUUCAGCUAAUACCGUAUGUGCCCUACGGGGGAAAGAUUUAUCGCCAUUGGAGCGGCCCGCGUUAGAUUAGCUAGUUGGUAGGGUAAUGGCCUACCAAGGCGACGAUCUAUAGCUGGUCUGAGAGGAUGAUCAGCCACACUGGGACUGAGACACGGCCCAGACUCCUACGGGAGGCAGCAGUAGGGAAUCUUGCGCAAUGGGCGAAAGCCUGACGCAGCCAUGCCGCGUGAAUGAUGAAGGUCUUAGGAUUGUAAAAUUCUUUCACCGGGGACGAUAAUGACGGUACCCGGAGAAGAAGCCCCGGCUAACUUCGUGCCAGCCGCCGCCGUAACAC